rnacentral:rRNA from 1 species
GGAUCCAGACUUUGAUUAUGGCUCAGGACGAACGCUGGCGGCGCGCCUAACACAUGCAAGUCGAACGAGAGAGAGGGAGCUUGCUUCCUCAAUCGAGUGGCGAACGGGUGAGUAACGCGUGAGGAACCUGCCUCAAAGAGGGGGACAACAGUUGGAAACGACUGCUAAUACCGCAUAAGCCCACGACCCGGCAUCGGGAAGAGGGAAAAGGAGCAAUCCGCUUUGAGAUGGCCUCGCGUCCGAUUAGCUAGUUGGUGAGGUAACGGCCCACCAAGGCGACGAUCGGUAGCCGGACUGAGAGGUUGAACGGCCACAUUGGGACUGAGACACGGCCCAGACUCCUACGGGAGGCAGCAGUGGGGAAUAUUGCACAAUGGGGGAAACCCUGAUGCAGCGACGCCGCGUGGAGGAAGAAGGUCUUCGGAUUGUAAACUCCUGUUGUUGAGGAAGAUAAUGACGGUACUCAACAAGGAAGUGACGGCUAACUACGUGCCAGCAGCCGCGGUAAAACGUAGGUCACAAGCGUUGUCCGGAAUUACUGGGUGUAAAGGGAGCGCAGGCGGGAAGACAAGUUGGAAGUGAAAUCCAUGGGCUCAACCCAUGAACUGCUUUCAAAACUGUUUUUCUUGAGUAGUGCAGAGGUAGGCGGAAUUCCCGGUGUAGCGGUGGAAUGCGUAGAUAUCGGGAGGAACACCAGUGGCGAAGGCGGCCUACUGGGCACCAACUGACGCUGAGGCUCGAAAGUGUGGGUAGCAAACAGGAUUAGAUACCCUGGUAGUCCACACCGUAAACGAUGAUUACUAGGUGUUGGGAGAUUGACCCUCUCAGUGCCGCAGUUAACACAAUAAGUA